GUGGGGAUGGGGGAAACGAGGGCGGGGAGGAGGGUGAGAGGCAGGAGAGCAGCAGAGGGCCAAGGGGGAGGAGAGAAGAGGGGGACGGGGGAGGGCAAGAGGGCCGGGAAGGGGAGGAGGUGGAGGGGAGAAAAGCAGCGAGACCUGGCAGAAAGAGCACGGGCUAGGACUCAAAGGACCUGGGUUCUAAUCUAGCCUCUGCAGGCGCUGCUGCGUGACCUCGGGCAAGUCCCUUAACUUCCCUCAACUCGGGAAGCCGCGUGGCUUAGCGGCAAGAGCCCGGGCCAAGGAGUCAGAGGACCCGAGUUCUAAUCCCGACCCCGCCGCUUGCCAGCCGUGUGACCUCGGGCAAGCCGCUGAACUUCUCUGUCCCUCGGUGGCCUCAUCCGUAAAAUGGGGAUGAAAGGCUUGAGUCCCACCUGUGGGACAAGCUGAUCACCUUGCCUCCCUCCCGCCAGCGCUUGGCACCCAGGGAGGGCUUAACGGCUGCCACCAUCAUCAUUAGUCUGCGCUGGGCCUCAGUCUCCCCGUCCGGAAAAUGGGCAUUCGGGGGCUGAUUUCUCUCCCCCUUCGAGGGCGAGCCCCGUGCGGGGCAGGGACCGCGUCGGACCUGAUCACCUUUGUGUCUACCCCAGGGUUUAGCACGUAGGAAGCGGUUGCCAGAUACGGGGAGGACGCAUCAUCGUUAUUCUACAGGGGGAUAGGGGGAGGGGGGGAGGGGCUCGGGCCCGAGUGGGGGGGGGGGGGGUCUCCCUACUGGCCGCCCCCUCCCCGCAACCCGCUCCCUCCCCGCCCCCCGCGGACUCGGUUACCUCCUCGCGCUCUUUAAUCGUCUCCGCUCAACUCCUCAACUCCCCGCCCCCUUUCCCAGCGGCCGCCGCCCAUUGGCCGCCGCCCGCCGCCGGCCCCCGCUCCCUCCCGGCUAUUGGUCGAGGCGCCCGCCGAUCGGCGCCGCCGCCGGCCAAUGACGACGGGGGGGACGGUCCUCGGGGGACGCCCAUAAACAAGCCCGCACCCCCCGCUCUCCCCGCCGCCCCCCCCGCUCCUCCAUUGGUCAGCGCGGCGCCAAAUCCGCUAGGCCGCAAUCUCCUUGGAGGCGGGGGACGUCACUCUACCCCGUCCCGCUCUCUGAUUGGCCGAGCGCUCUCCCUAGCCCCGCCCCCUCCCCCCCGCCCAGACCGCGCCUUCACCCGCUCUGGAGAGGUCAGCCGCAACCCGUUGUUCAGUGAUCCGGCAGGUGGCCGAUCAUUGGCUGAGCGGCCUUGUCAGUCGGCGCGGCCUCCGGCGCCGAUUGGCGGCUACGGAAGACCGCCAGGGUCUCCAACAUGGGUGGAUAGGCCCCGCCCACAGCCCCCCAUGCCAGCCAAGAGCCAUAGGCCCACCUGUUCUCUACCUGCAAAUGAUACUCCCAGAAAUGAAGAAGACACCAGGGCCAUGGGGACCACGGGACGCCAAAUGCUUCAGACCAAACCUCAAUCCGGAAGUCUUCUCAAUUGACACUUCCCAUUUCCCUUUUUGAGAAAAGAAACCCAGAGGGUGUCACCUACUGGUGCAAUAUUAAAAUCACAUUUAAAUCUGUU
rnacentral:lncRNA from 1 species